rnacentral:lncRNA from 1 species
UUGUCAAAGAACUCUCAAGUUUACUAUUAAAAAUAAAAAAUCUUAAGUUUACCCUCGUUGCUGGAAUCACAUUGACAUAUUGAUACUUUUCUCAGCAUCUAGUUUGUCUCUCUUGUGAUGCACAGCUCCUGCUGAUAAAGUUCAUGCUCUUAUUUUGGCUGAAUCAAUGUUGUCUAUAUCCGGGGAGAAAUGGAAGGCGACGUAUAUCCGGGGAGAAAUGGCUGCUCCGGCAGCCAAAAUUAACUGAUCUUCAAGUGCCAUUGCCAAUUGACAGGU